UACGUAGGGGGCGAGCGUUGUCCGGAAUCAUUGGGCGUAAAGAGCUCGUAGGCGGUUCAGCAAGUCGGCUGUGAAAUUCCGAGGCUCAACCUCGGAACUGCAGUCGAUACUGCUGUGACUCGAGUCCGGUAGAGGAGAAUGGAAUUCCCGGUGUAGCGGUGAAAUGCGCAGAUAUCGGGAGGAACACCAGUAGCGAAGGCGGUUCUCUGGGCCGGUACUGACGCUGAGGAGCGAAAGCGUGGGGAGCAAA
rnacentral:rRNA from 2 species